rnacentral:piRNA from 1 species
UGGAGAAUAGAGUUUGCAGUGAUGCCCGUGU